UGGUUUGAGAACCAAAAGCUUCCCAGAUGUCUUUGGCAUGUCAGACUUGACAUGAUCACUGUGGGGAGACUGAUUACCAUGAUGAGUCAAAGAAUAUUGUUGCUGUCCACUCUUUAUAGUUAUGUUCAUGUCACUCGUUCUGACAGCAGGUUUGGCUUUUGAUUUGUCCACUGAAUUGUGAACCUGGGACCAAAAAAUUAGGAAAUUAUAUCUGAAAUUUCUAAGUACUAAUUAAAUGGUUCUUCUAUCAUGCAGUAGACAGGUCAAAAGAAAAAGCGCAACUUCCAGAACACUUCAUGAGCAUACAGCAAACUAGCUAACUUGAGUUAAUCUUGGCAUUUCCAAAUCCCUUAAAGAUGUACAAGAACAGUUAUAAUUCAACCACAAGUCUAUAUCAUUAAGUCAUAUCAUAAACAUGAAAUUCAAAAUCUACUGUAAACAACACCAGGGAAGAAAAAGAAAAAG
rnacentral:lncRNA from 1 species